AAAAAUCACAGAAGCUCUAGAGUAGAGUAGAGUAGAGUAAUUGACGCUAGCACGUAGGUUGGUGUAGAAGUAAACACAGAGAUAACUAAGUAUAUAUUGAAGUCUCGUCACCAGAAUGCAGGGCAAAAUCGUAACGUAAGGGUUGCUAAUGAAUCCUGUGUAAAAGCGGCAAAGAUAAGGUAUUUGAGAGCGACAGUAACAAAUGAAAAAACGAUUAGUGAGGAAAUUAAAAGCAGAUUAAUUUCGGGUAAUAGUUGCUACCAUUUAGUUCAGAACCCUUUCCAUUUGCUGUCUAAAAACAUAAAGAUUAAAAUAUAGGAAACUAUUUUCCAGUAGUUUUGUAUGAAUGUGAAAUUUGGUCUCUGACGCUAAGGGAAGAAACUGAGGGUGUUUGAGAACAGGGAGAAUAGUUGGACCACGAUGAAUAAAAUACUAGGAGGUUGAAGAAAUUUGCAUUAUGAGGAGCUACAUAAGUUUUACUUCACACCAAAUACGAUUAGACUGCUCAUGUUAAGGAGGAUGCGAUGGUCAGGGCAUGUAGCCUGCAUGGGAGAAAAGAGGAAUACAAAUAGGGUUUUGGUCGCGAAAAGGAAAGAGACAACAAGGAAGACCUAAACAUAGGUGGGAGGAUAAUAUUAAAAUGGAUCAUAGAGGAAUAGGGUGGAGUGGUAUGGGCUGGAUUCAUCUGGCUCAGGAUAGGGACCAGUGGCAGGUUCUUGUGAAGAUGCUGAUGAACCUUCAAGUUCAAUAAAGUGUUGGGAACAUCUUGAGUGACUGAUGGCUUCUCAUGAAGGACUCAGCACCAUGAAACACAGUCGUAGUGGAUUUCCCCGCCGCAAACCUUGAUCUGUCUCACCAUACUGAUCAAGGUACGGAGGAGACAUGAAGCAGCCUCUACUUGGACUGGCGAGGAGAAGAAUCUCACAUUCUCGCACCCGGAGAAAUAUUCCAACUCCAGCACCACAUUCAUGGGCAUGAUCAGAAGGCAGGCCCGUAGUAUACUCCAGAGUAAGCAACUGAUAUGCGUACUUCAGCACAGCCGUGAAUGCAGCUCGGGCUCGCUCGGUGAGAUCGUCCGGCAGAUGAUGUCCAGCUGGAUCUGGUCUUAUUUC